GACGAACGCUGGCGGCGUGCCUAAUACAUGCAAGUCGAACGGAAAGGCCCUGCUCUUGUGGGGUGCUCGAGUGGCGAACGGGUGAGUAACACGCGAGUAUCCUGCCCUUGUCUUUGGGAUAAAUCCUGGAAACUGGGGAUAAUAUCGGAUAGGAGCUCUUGCUGCACGGUGGGGGUUGGAAAGUUUCGGCGGUUGGGGAUGGACUCGCGGCUUAUCAGCUUGUUGGUGGGGUAGUGGCUUACCAAGGCUAUGAAGGGUAGCCGGCCUGAGAGGGUGACCGGCCACAAUGGGACUAAGAGACGGCGCAGACGCCUACGGGAGGCAGCAGUGGGGAAUAUUGCGCAAUAGGCGGAAGCCUGAUGCAGCAACGCCGCGUGCGUGAUGACGGCCUUCGGGUUGUAAACCGCUUUCGCCGGUGACGAGGCGGGAGUGACGGUAAUUGGUAAAGAAGCACCGGCUAACUACGUG
rnacentral:rRNA from 1 species